rnacentral:rRNA from 1 species
UACGUAGGUGGCAAGCGUUGUCCGGAUUUAUUGGGCUUAAAGGGUGCGUAGGUGGUCUAUUAAGUCAGUGCUGAAAUAUCCCGGCUUAACCGGGAGGGUGGCAUUGAUACUGAUGGACUUGAGUAAAGUUGAGGUGGGCGGAAUUGACGGUGUAGCGGUGAAAUGCUUAGAUAUCGUCAAGAACACCUAUUGCGAAGGCAGCUCACUAAGCUUUAACUGACACUGAGGCACGAAAGAGUGGGGAUCAAACAGG